rnacentral:rRNA from 1 species
UAGUCCACGCCGUAAACGAUGAUUACUCGCUGUAGGCGAUACACAGUCUGUGGCUAAGCGAAAGUUUUAAGUAAUCCACCUGGGGAGUACGAUCGCAAGAUUGAAACUCAAAGGAAUUGACGGGGGCCCGCACAAGCGGAGGAACAUGUGGUUUAAUUCGAUGAUACGCGAGGAACCUUACCUGGACUUAAAUGUACGUUGCAUAGAUUGGAGACAGUCUUUUCUUCGGACUACGUACAAGGUGCUGCAUGGUUGUCGUCAGCUCGUGCCGUGAGGUGUUGGGUUAAGUCCCGCAACGAGCGCAACCCCUAUUUUUAGUUGCCAGCACGUAAAGGUGGGGACUCUAGAAAGACUGCCGGCGUAAGCCGGGGGAAGGUGGGGACGACGUCAAAUCAUCAUGGCCUUUAUGCCCAGGGCGACACACGUGCUACAAUGGUACAUACAGAGGGUAGCGAAGCAGUGAUGUGGAGCCGAAUCCCAGAAACGUGUAUCCCAGUUCGGAUUGAAGUCUGGAACUCGACUU